rnacentral:rRNA from 1 species
GACGAACGCUGGCGGCGUGCCUAAUACAUGCAAGUCGAACGCAGUGGGGACGGGUGAGUAACACGUGGGUAACCUCCCAUCAGAGGGGAUAACACUUGGAAACAGGUGCUAAACCGAUACUGAUGGAUGGACCCGCGGUGCAUUAGCUAGUUGGUGAGGUAGCGGCUCACCAAGGCCACGAUGCAUAGCCGACGUGCGAGGGUGAUGGGCCCAAUGGGAACUGGAAAACGGCCCAGAUUCUUCGGGGGGGCAGCAGUGGGGAUUGUCGGCAAAUGGAGCAAAGUUGGACCGGGCAAGGCGGCGGAUGUGAAAAAGGUUUCCGGAUGUAAAACCUUGGUGUUUGAGAAGCGGUAUCUAACCAGAAAGCCACGGCUAACUACGUGCCAGCAGCCGCGGUAAUUC